rnacentral:misc_RNA from 1 species
GUGAAUCAUCGAAUCUUUGAACGCAACUUGCGCUCCCUGGCAUUCCGGGGAGCAUGCCUGUUUCAGUAUCAGUUCAUGAUAGAAUUUGACAAAGAAUGAUCAUAAAUGAUCAUUCUUUUAAAAAUUCGUUAGUGAAUGUCUUUUUUAUUACUGAAAAAGUCAUUUAAAAGUUACUAAAAAACGUUACUGGUGUAAUAUCAUAAAAUCACCUCGAUCGUUGAUAACAUUAAUAAAAAUUCUUUCGAAAUUUUAUUUACAUUCGUGAUCUGAAAUCAGGCAAGAUUACCCGCUGAACUUAAG